GAUGAACGCUGGCGGCGUGCCUAACACAUGCAAGUCGAGCGGAGUUUAUAUAGAGGAAGCCUUCGGGUGGAAAGAAUAUAAACUUAGCGGCGGACGGGUGAGUAACGCGUGGGCAACCAACCUUGAUCAGGGGGACAACAUUGGGAAACCAGUGCUAAUACCGCAUAGCUCUGUUUUAUGGCAUCAUGAAGCAGAGAAAGAUUUAUCGGAUCAAGACGGGCCCGCGUCUGAUUAGCUGGUUGGUGGGGUAACGGCCUACCAAGGCGAUGAUCAGUAGCCGACCUGAGAGGGUGACCGGCCACACUGGAACUGAGACACGGUCCAGACUCCUACGGGAGGCAGCAGUGGGGAAUAUUGCACAAUGGGCGCAAGCCUGAUGCAGCAACGCCGCGUGAGCGAAGAAGGCCUUCGGGUCGUAAAGCUCUGUCCUAUGGGAAGAAGAAAGUGACGGUACCAUAGGAGGAAGCCCCGGCUAACUACGUG
rnacentral:rRNA from 1 species